UUAAAGGUGCUUGUUGCCUGUCAGUUUCUAGUCUCACUCGAAUUAAACUUUUCUGUUAGUGCUUCGUAAAAAUUAGUCCGGGAGUCAAAAAAGGAAAAAGAUUUAUCAACAAACGAGUCAACAGCAGCCAAGUCCCCUCGUAACUUUACACCUACCUGUGAAUAAGGCGUAUUCAGCGGGGACCUUGACUGCGUUGUUGUGGCCGAUCGUCUCCUCGUCCAUUUCCGCUGAGAAUUCUUCCUCGGAGGACUCACUGAGGUAAAUGAAAGAGAAAAACAUGUCAUCAAAAGGGGGGGAGGGUGAAGUCCCAAGCGGAGCUGACACAUCCUUGAGGAAAACCAGGCGCCGAAAAACGAUCCUCUGCACAGAAACGGAACAGUUGGGAGUGGACUACCAAGACCAUCACUACUAUCCUCAUUAGCUUAACCGCAUCCUGUCAGUGGUACAUCAUUGAAAUACAUUCAAUAAUAAUACAGAUAUCUGAUUUUUAUGAUGAUAUAAGGCCAAUAAUUAUUAGUAUUGGUAUUGCAUUUAAUGAGAAAGUCAUCAUUUUCUCAGAAUACAUUGAAAUAUUAAAAAAAACAUCAAAAAACAACAACAAAAAGUCGGAAUAUGAGAAAACUACGAAUAAAGUUAUAUUCAGAAAACAAGAUUAUUCAAGUUGUAUGUAAUGCUAUGAGAUUAAAGUCCAAAUAUUUAGAGAAAGUUCUCGUCUAAAGAGGAAAAAAGUCCCAAUUUUACGAGAAUAAACUUAUGAAAUGACAGAAAAUUUUAGUAGCAGAUCAGAAUACAUUGAAAUAUUAAAAAUAACAUCAAAAAACAACAACAAAAAGUCGGAAUAUGAGAAAACUAUGAAUAAAGUUGUCAUAUUCAGAAAACGAGGUUGUUGAAGUUAUAUGUAAUGCUAUGACAUUAAAGUCCAAAUAUUUAGAGAAAGUUCUAUUCUAAAGAGGAAAAAAGUCCCAAUUUUACGAGAAUAAACUUAUGAAAUGACAGAAAAUUUUAGUAACAAAGAGUUGAAAUAUUAAAAAAAAUAUAUUACAGUAUUUGUAUUCAACUUCUCUUUGCUCCCCCCUUCCAUUUUUAACAGUAAUAUUAUGACUUCCCUGUAAUAUUUAGAAUUUAUUCCCAUCAUUUUACAACUUCCCUCAAUUUUUCUUUGUUUUGUUUCUCAUAAUAUUACGAGUUUAUUCUCAUAAAAUGACAUCAGUAUUUUCAUUUCUGCUGUUUUUUUUAUUUCCUAUGUAUCUUUCUUCUUGUACAUUUUCUUCUCGUAAUU